AUUUUCCUCAAAAGCCUAAUAGUUUUCUCCUCUCUUAAGAGCACAUUCAUUCUCUCAUUUAUCCUUCACUCAAUUUCACGAAUGAGACUUAAUCUCCUUUCAAGGCUAGUUGUUAUUCUAUUUUCUUGAGCCUGUAAUUCUAUUUUUGAACGGUGAGUUCUCUUUCUUUCUUCCUUCCCUAUGUUGACCCAUAAUGGGUACAUGUGCAAAUUCUCAAUGGUGUUGUUUUGGGUUAUGUUCUCAUGGAUUUUGUGAGGUGUUGAUGGGAGACCUCUUUGUUGAGCUCAAGUCAUCCCCUUUCUAUUCUCUUCUAAGAAAUCUAAGCUUGGGGAUCCAUAGCUUAAGUUGUGAGAGUACAAUGACCUUUGUCAGCACUUAAGCUUGAGUCAUGGAUUUGUGCAGCCUAAGUCGUGACGAUAAGCGAGUUAAGUUUUAAAAUGCUUCUAAAUGAGCCUCCAAAUGGAAUCCAAAUGCAAUUAACCUUACUUCGAGAGCUUUUAUGAAAUGAGCAAAGUGGAUUAUAAGUUAAGAUCAUAUAAUUUAUAUUUAUAUUUAUAUGAAUUUUUUUGUUUCAUGGUAAGAAUUCAUAAUGUUAAAUGUCUUAUUAUGCUUGUUCAACUAAUGUUUGAUGAAUUUAUAAUAUGGUGAGUACUUGAGAUGUUAAAAUUGACGAUCAUUGAAGUGAAACAUUUAUAUUAUGCUAAGAUAAGUUCAUUGUUGUUGAAGUGAAAAAUGUUUAAUGAGGUGAGUGUGUUAUUGUUGAUAAUAGAAUAUGAAGUUGUGGUUGAAUUUUUUAUUUUGGAACCUAUCUAAAAGCAUUUAAGUGAGUCAAUUAUGUCUUCAUAUGGAUUGAGAAAUGGCUACUUGGUGAAUGUGAGAUUCAUCAUUUAUGGAUCUCUAAUCCACUAAGAGACCCAAGAGUUUUGCUUAGUAAAUAUCUUCUCAAGUACUCGCCCAAAGUUUUGAACUUUGAUGGUUUUUCGAAGUGGUGAAAAAUGUUUCAUAAACAUUAAGUUGACUUAUUUAAAUGUGGUGAAAUAUGCGGAUGAGAGUUUAAUUAUAUGGUGAACUGUGUGGGUGAUGUUUGUUUAGUCUCAUGGUGAACUAUGCAGGUGAUAAUUGGAAUGUGUGAUGAACUAUGAGAGUAAUGAUUUAAUUUUGUGGUGAAUUAUGUGGUGAUAGUUUAAUCUUAUGGUGACUACAAAGGUAUCCAACAUCAAAGAUUGACCAUCUAAAGUGACUAUAUGUAUAUAUAUGGAUCGAUGUGGUAAAUGUUAAAAAUUAUUAUAGUGAUAUUUGGUGGUUUAUUACAUGAUGUUGAUGCUAGACUUGUAAAUGAGAUGUUUCAUUUAUCUUAGUUGAAUGUUGCAAUUUAUUUAUGCCCAAAUACCAUGAUGUAAAAAUAUGAGAAUAUUUUAAUGAAAAACAAUAAGAAAAAUGAUAAUGAAUUUAAAGGAUAUUAAUUAAGAAACUAAAAAUAAUAUUAUAACGGAAAAUUAGUUUUUAUAAUAAAACAUUUUUAUUUAUAUCCUUAGGAGGAGUUACGACACUCGUUAGAAUGGCAUAAAACAUUAUAAGAGAAGAACCUACAAGAGUUAAGCUCUCAAGAGUUUGAUCUUCCAGCACAUGUGAGAAACAUGGAUCCCAACAGCACUACACGUCAAACACCGAAGUUUGAAGAAAACGUCGUUACUCGUUAGCUUGUAGUAUUAUUUGUCUUUGAACCCUAAUUCCUAUGGCACAUUAAGAAUCGUUUUUUAGCUGUGAUGCACUUAACUUGUAUUUUUAAUUCUGCGUAACAUUAUUCAGAAGAGGUUCUCUACGGUUCACAAUCACAAACCAACUUCCGUAAUAAUAUGAGGGCUUCAACUUUUGAUAUUGUGUUUAUACUACUUUGUAUGCAUAUAUUUUUAAUGAAAUGAGAUUUUUUUGUCGGCUAUGAUAGUCUGCAGUUGUACAUCCAAAUCAACCUAAUUCUUAC
rnacentral:lncRNA from 1 species